ACAUGCAAGUGGAGCGACGAACCAGGGCUUGCCUGGGGCAGAGCCGCGAACGGGUGAGUAACACGUGGGUAACCUACCCCAAUGACCGGGACAACCCGAGGAAACUCGGGCUAAUACCGGAUGUUCUGCACUCUCGUAAGGGGGUUCAGCAAAGAUAGCUUCGGCUUUCGCAUUGGGACGGGCCCGCGGCCCAUUAGCUUGUUGGUGAGGUAACGGCUCACCAAGGCUUCGAUGGGUAGCUGGUCUGAGAGGACGAUCAGCCACACUGGGACUGAGACACGGCCCAGACUCCUACGGGAGGCAGCAGUGGGGAAUCUUGCGCAAUGGGCGAAAGCCCGACGCAGCAACGCCGCGUGGGGGAAGAAGGUCUUCGGAUUGUAAACCCCUUUCAGUUGGGACGAAGCUUCCAGGGUUAAUAGCCCUGUGGAGUGACGGUACCUUCAGAAGAAGCCCCGGCUAACUACGUGCCAGCAGCCGCGGUAAUACGUAGGGGGCGAGCGUUGUCCGGAAUCAUUGGGCGUAAAGCGCGUGUAGGCGGUCCGGUAAGUCCGCUGUGAAAGUCGGGGGCUCAACCCUCGGAUGCCGGUGGAUACUGUCGGGCUUGAGUACGGAAGAGGCGAGUGGAAUUCCUGGUGUAGCGGUGAAAUGCGCAGAUAUCAGGAGGAACACCAAUUGCGAAGGCAGCUCGCUGGGACGUUACUGACGCUGAGACGCGAAAGCGUGGGGAGCAAACAGGAUUAGAUACCCUGGUAGUCCACGCUGUAAACGAUGGGCACUAGGUGUGGGGGGUGUCGACUCCCUCCGUGCCGAAGCUAACGCAUUAAGUGCCCCGCCUGGGGAGUACGGCCGCAAGGCUAAAACUCAAAGGAAUUGACGG
rnacentral:rRNA from 1 species